CUCUCUCUCUAGGUUUCAACACAGGGGAUUACAUUCCAGGACGAAUGGCCCUACUCGAUUCAUCUUCUAGGCCACAUCUACAUCGACGACAUAUGAUCACUUUGAACUCCAGCAGCUAGCUAAAGAACUUCAGCUGCAUCACAAACUUUUUCUUUGAUGCUGGACUAUGUGGGUGUGCACGAGGCCAUUCGUGGGUUCAAUUGGAGUCAAGAGACGCGAGAUCUUGUAGCCUCUUUCUCUGAAAGCAGCUAAAACGGAGCUAAUGAUUAGGUUCCCAUAUGGAGGUAAAAUUCGUAUUCUCCCUUCAAGAUUAUUGACAUCUCUAUUUAGCACAGUAUCACAGUUCUUAUUCAGUCAAUGUGUU